GACGAACGCUGGCGGCGUGCCUAACACAUGCAAGUCGAACGCGAAAGGGGGGCUUCGGCUCCUAAGUAGAGUGGCGUCCGGGUGAGUAACACGUAGGUAAUCUGCCUUCGGGUGGGGAAUAACCAGUCGAAAGAUUGGCUAAUACCGCAUAAUGCAGCGGCACCUAAUGGUGAUUAGUUGUUAAAGCGGGGGAUCGUAAGACCUCGCGCCUGAAGAGGAGCCUGCGGCAGAUUAGCUAGUUGGUGAGGUAAUGGCUCACCAAGGCUUCGAUCUGUAGCUGGUCUGAGAGGACGGCCAGCCACACUGGCACUGACACACGGGCCAGACUCCUACGGGAGGCAGCAGUGGGGAAUUUUGGGCAAUGGGCGAAAGCCUGACCCAGCAACGCCGCGNGAGGGAGGAAAUCCUUCGGGAUGUAAACCUCACAAGCAAGGGAAGAGAGCUCAGGGCCGAAUAAGCUUUGAGUCCGACGGUACCUUGCGUAAGCCACGGCUAACU
rnacentral:rRNA from 1 species